CCUAGAUGGAGUACAUGUUAGAGCCACUUCUUGAGCCAGAAAUGUGCAGUUUUCCUCCUGCAAUGUGAUUUUUUUUGUCAGUAAUUUGGCAUUAGCUUCUUCCAUACUCACUUGUGAAACGCCCUCAGGAAUGACAAAUAGUUUUCACUUUCCACUCUUUAAAACGGGGAUGGUAAUUCUUCACUCAGGUGUGGAUGUGGCCUCAUGGAAAGGCUAGAGACCAUAUUUUGUACAGUUUGUUUCCUUUGGGUUUGCUCCAUCCUGUGUUUUCUGACACUGAGAUGCUGAUGGGAGAAGGAAGAGGAGCAGAGUCCUCUUCCAGAUCGUUCACCUCAAAUUUACCCUCCAAGCCUUGAAACUUCAAGUUUUCAUGGUCUGUGUGAGCUUCAGAUGGACUUCAGCUUGAGAGAAAGGAGUAGGAGCAGCAGCAGCAAUCGUGGUUCUAUACGGAUGGUAACUGCCAUCACCUUAAAUCCCACUGAGCUCCAUGAGGAUACACAUGAAGAUGUUGUAACUGUCCUGAAACAGGCUGGGGAAAAGCUGAUCAUUUAACCAAUCCAAUGAAUUUUUUCCGCUGAAUAAAGUGGUCAAGCAGUUCUUACCUAGUGCAACUUCCAUUUCAGAAGCCUGAAGAUUGAAGGAGAAUCUGUCUGCAGCCCAUCCUCAGAGGGAAGAAGGUGGAAUUCUGCAUUGGCUUUUCAUAGAAGAAAGAGAACUGAGAUUUGAUGUCUUCAGGGUGGGUGAAUUCAUUGCAUGAGCAAAAUUUUAUGUAGGUGCUUUUAGCAUUUAUUAACCGGCAAAACCAGCUCUAAAGACAGUUUUAGGAGAUGAGGCACAAGCUGGAGGCUGAAGGCACAAAUCUGAUGAGGAGCUGCUGAGGGAGCUGGGAAGGGGCUCAGCCUGGAGAAAAGGAGGCUCAGGGGGGACCUUCUGGCUCUGCACAGCUCCUGACAGGAGGGGACAGCCGGGGGGUCGGGCUCUGCUCCCAGGAACAGGGACAGGAGGAGAGGGAACGGCCUCAGGCUGGGCCAGGGCAGGCUCAGGUUGAAUAUUGAGGAAAAUUUCUUCAUGGAAGGAGUUGUCCAUCCCUGGUACAGCUGCCCAGGGCAGUGGUGGAAGCCCCAUCCAGGGAUUUAAAAACCAUGUGGAUGUGGCACGUGGGGACAUGGGUUAGUGGUGGCCUUGGCAGUGCUACUUGGACUUGGUGUUCUUAAAGACCUUUUCCAAUUUAAACAAUUCUAUGUAAAUUGAAAAAAUAAAACCAAACUAAAGUGCCCUUCAAUUCAUAAACAAGGUCUCUUUUUCUUUACUGAUAAUGAAGAAUUUGGUCUCUUCUAAAUCAUGUUUUAUUGCUGAAACUUGUUACCUUCUCUGGUAGAAGGAUAAAACUCUGCCCUAAUCCACAAAAAAAAUACGGUUUUAGUCUUUCAGUUUCAUCUUGGUCAUGUACAUCUUAAUAAAACUGUGCCUGGGGUGAAUUUUGGUGCUCCUGUGCAAUGGGAUUUAAUGCCCUGCACACAACUCCCUCCUUCUUGUACCUUUUCUGCCACAUCUUCAGAAAUCUAUGUGACUUUGGAAUGGUUCCAGUCAUUGGUGAAUUAUUCCUCUUUCAGGUUUGAGAAUUUCAGAUGGAAUGGAGGAAAGGACGUAGGCUGAAACAAUUAUAACAUGGUCAUUAAUUGGACCAAAUUAAUUACUGUGCUCAACACAACAACCAGGAAC
ensembl:lncRNA